GAAAGGUAAUCUUUUUUCAAGAUAUAGAACUCCAUGCAUAUUGUGAAAUUGUUGCUGCCCUUGUGAUAUCUCACAUUAUUUAGUAAAACAAUCAAUUUAUCAAAUUCCAAAUACUAGUUCUCCGCAUCAUCCUAUACUUUUUUCUUAAGUUGAGGAUCUUUUUGAGCAGCCUGUUAAACCUGCACGGGCUGUUGCCAACAACCAUCUGACAAGAAUGGCAGAUGCAUUUCGAGCUUAACACAAUAUGCUUCCAUCAAAUUAUCAUAAUCAGGCUACUGUCUCCCCACACUAAUUAGACAAGAUCGACUGCCAUCUGCAAAACGGUCACCGGACAGAAAGAAACAUGGAAAAAACCGGUGGCGUCCACAGGUAAACCGAUCAUCAUCAUCAUUAUUAUCAGUGUCAAACUCAGAAUUUAAGGAAUAAUAAGCAUUCAUUUUCUGUGUUGAUUGUUUGUAUAGUUUUGGUAAGCAUCCAAGACCACUGAUGAAGUCUGUAAAUUUUCUUUAUAUCUCAUUCCAUCAGAAAUUUGAUAAGCCAAAGAGUGAGUAGUUUGGGCGAAUAUGUGAACACGCAGUAGUUUUAGCAAUAUAUUUUUGGAUCAUAUGCUUUUGAUGAUUUUGAUUCGAAGCAUAAGUAAUUUCAGAACUUAGGAUUGUUUAAUCUUACUUUCCUUUGAAAUCACACUUAAUUAAUUUAAACUUCAUAUCUAAAUAUUGAAUGAUGGUAGAAUGAAUAUGUAAUCUAGAAAUUAAGAAAAUUAAAUUCUUGAAACAUUCUAUAUCAUUUGUGUAACACUAUGUUUCAUGAACAACAUAGAUUAAUUAGGUCAACUUUCAUGCUCUUCAUGAACCCUAAGCGAAAAUGUGUUCGUCUUUGAGAGAAAAAAUCUGACAAAUCAAUAUCAGUUCAGAAAUUAUUUACGCAAUUAUAAUUAGUAGUAUUUAUUGAAUCCGCGUGUUUAUGUUGUAAUUGCAUAAUAAUCAUUGACCGAACAUCAGCGGAUACAGAAAAUGAUACUUGCAUGAUACACUAAACCUGGAGAACAAAGGCAUUCUAUAUUACUCUACUGCCGUCAAAUGGAGAUAUAAAGAUUCUUCAUUAUUAUCAAAUUACCUUAAUGCUUAAACUAGAUAAUUCACUUAUAGCUAUCGAUCUUUAUAUAUAUAUUUCAAAAUUAAAUAACCAAUACUUAAUGGCAAUGCUUGCAUUUCUUCCUCUACAUCACCUUAUAUUUCUUUUUGAUAUAUGCUGAGAAUUUUCAUUUUGACUUCAGAUAUCUUCAGCCUUGUCAUUUCUAGUAUGCAAAUGAGUUCUCUGGUAAAACCUACGUUGCGGGAUACUCUUUCGCUCAUUGGACCUGAGAGGGAGGAUGAGCAAGUGAGGCAAUAUAUCAUUGAAGACUUGUGAGAUGUUUUUUGGACCGUGGAAAGUCUUAGAGGUAUUAAGACUUUAUAAGAGGCAGUGGCCUGUAUGUACCUAGUUGGAUAGUUUAUUUUGUACAUCCUUGAUUUCUGCAAGAAAUAGAACUUCUUAUUAAGACAAGAAAUGAAAUUUGUCAGGACUGAAGUUUUUUAUGGAAGUUUAUUAUUUUAAUUCUAUGUUGAUGCGCUUGACCUUUGUGAUGUCUUUUUUCUGACAUUACUAACUGGCAUAGGCCUAUGUUGCCUCAGAAACAUGGAUAAAGUAGUAUAGGAAUUGAAAUAUUCUCUGAUGAUUAAUAUUCCAUUAUUUUGUUUGUUGCUUAAUAAGAUGGUGUUCUAUCAUUUUCAAUUGAAAUGGUGUUAUGCCAACCAGAACUUAGAGCUAAACUGUUAUGCACAGGGGCCAUGGUGGAACCAUUUGGCUCUUAUGUAUCUAAGCAUUUGACCAGAACAUAUCUAUAGAGAUACAUAGAGGUCGCAUAUUUUAAAUAUUUGGAGAAACCAGAAGGAAAAUUUACCAGAAACUGUACUAGAAGCUCUCUGAAGUGAGGGUAACCUGCCUCCUUUUUAGUAAUCUGCUUGACAAUUGACAUAUAGGUGUGUUGACUAAAUCAUUGUGAGAUAAUUUUUUGAAGGUUGAUUUUGCAGGAAAAACUAGAGACCUCUUUCAGAAUUUAGCUGUUAAAAAUUCAGAUAACUUGACACUGAAUAGUACUUUAUUUUUUCCAUACAGGUUUGAGAACUGCAGCUGUUGAACAAAUUGCAAGAACAUUUGCUGCGGACAAAAACUGGUUUAAACGGUCUAGGCGGAGAAAUGAAAGUUCUCUGAUCUGCUCGUUUCAUUCUUUGCAAAGGUAUAUUUACACAUUUUCGGUUAAACUAUAUAUUCUGCUCUACAUUCAAUUUAUCUAAUAAAGUGGGAUGUUGGUAUGACUACUGGUGAACUUUUCUUUCCACAAUGAGAACUGGCAUUAGUAGCAAGAAUGCCGUGAUUAUAGCCUUAACACGUGGUCGCAGCAUUAGACCAACCCGAACCUAUUCAUGGCACAAUUUACAUUGGCAAAACCCGAAAAUGAUAUGAAACUGACUGUCGAACCUAACAUGAUCCUGAAAUGAGCAGUAAAAAGCACAAUAUCUUGCACUUUAUAAUGCAUGUGUGCGUGGUGUCUGCAGUGGAAGCAGCAGUAAUCAAUUUCACUGUAACGAAAAAACUUAUGUAUAUUUAUGAUCUUUUCAGUUCUCUGACAUUGAUAUGAGGGCCUCAGAACAAGGCAUCAAUCCUUACUCUGGACAGUACGAAGAUAUUGGGAGAAGCAUGGCAUGGCUGCCUCAGACAUUAGCACUCUAUGUAAUCCCACACACACAGAUUCCCUUGUGCUGGCGUGUUUCUCAUUGCUGGAGACUCUGUAGCUGCUUAAUCAAUGCAUGUUUAGCUCCUUUUUCACUUCUUACAAAUUUAUUCUUAGGUUAUGGAUCCUUUUGAGCAGCCUAAUAAUACUGCAAGGCCUAUUAGCAACAAAACCUUCAGACAGAAACACUGGGGGAAACUAUGACGGGAGUCAUCCACAGGUCAACAGAGAAGCAUCAGCACCAUCACAGUCGCAUCUAACUUAAGAUGUAAUGAAUGAUAAACGUUCUAACAAUGCGACUGUCAGCAGACCAGUGCAGCCAAUUCAAGCACAACAGAUCUGGAGGGCAAAACCCAAGAGCUAAAUUCCACGAGGAUGGACCUACAGCCUGCCUUCGUAUAUUAAUUAUUGAUAAAGAUAAUAUUGCUUAUUGUUAAUCAAGUCUUUAUAAAUGGUUUGUUGUAAAAAUAACAUUAUAACCAUUAAGUUUAAAGUCAAUGUAAAUGUUUUAAUAAAUUGUGUGUUGGCCUAGCUUUGUAGCCUGUGGUACAGGUAACAUUACUGUUGUGAGAGUUUCAUAUCAGGGGAAAUGAAUUUUAUUUUGCACUAAAAUUUCCCCUUUUAAAAACAACCACUCACGAUCACAAUCAUUUGGUUGGGUGGUUGGUUGGGUACGUGGUAUGAGAAAUUGGGUAUGGUUAGUUCAUACAUUUCAUUUUAGUGGAGAUACAUUUCAUUCCAUCACUGGAAUAGAUACGUGAUAGUCUAACUCUAUAUCCCUCUGGCCUGAUUUGUGAUUCCAAUUCUAUACCAGUCAGAGAACCAACCAAUUUUUAGAAAUCAUAUUUUCUGACACUAGCUUAUGAUUAUCCUUUUACUUAUUGUAGGAAUUGCAUGAGAUUGUACUAUUCAAUUUAAGUGCUGAGACAAUCGAAUAUCCUAACCCUAAAUUAUCAUUCAAAAAUCAUUUUGUCCCACUAUUUUGAAUAAUUCAAAUCGCACCUUAUUAGUUUAACCCGCGAGACAGUUUGCACCCCUUCCGUUAAAUAUACAUAAUUUUAUACUUUAAUGAAAUAUCAUUUUGAUAUUUUAAAAUAAUAAAACUAUAAUUAAAUAUCUCAAAAGUAUAAUACUCCCUCCGAUUCAAAAUAUAUGACGCUUUGACUUUUUGCACGUAUUUAAAAUCCUUUGACCAUGUACUUAUAUUUAUUAUUUUUAAAAUUUUAUUUUUUAAAAUAAAAGUAUAUAGUCAAAAUUUUAAAGUAUAAAUUCUUUUUAAAAGAAAUGAUGAAUCUAGAUGCUUGGUGAAAACACUUUGAAAUAUGUGUAAAAAGUCUGACAAAGAUGGCAGAUGCAUUUCGAGCUACACACAAUAUGCUUACAUCAAAUUAUUAUAACCAGGCUACCUUUUCCGCUACACUAAUUAGACAAGAUCGAUUGUCACCAGCGAGACGAUCUAUAUUCCGAAACAUGCCAGGAAACAACCGGAGUCACCCACAGGUGAACCAAGCUUCAUCAUCACAGUCACAAUCACACCAAACUCGGAAUUUCAGGAAUAAUAGAAGUUCCAACAAUGAAAAUAUGAACAGACCGGUGCAGACUCCUCAUAGUCAAACAAGGCAGAUUUGGAAGGCAAAACCAUCUUAAUCGAACUAAAAAUUUGUAACAGGUUACAUCACUGUUCGUAUUUGAUAUCGUAUUGUGUGUGGUGGUUGUUUGUAUUGUUUUGAUAAUUUAACACUACUGACGAAAUUGGUAAACAUACAAAAAAUAAUAGUAAUAGCGAUUGUUUUUACGCAUAAAAUUAGAUUUAUAUGAUAAUUGAAUCACUAAAAGAAUUAUAAAUUUAAAUCUUCUAAGUAAAUUUUAGUUAAGUUUAAUAUAAGUAUUAAUUAAUCUAAAUUAAAAUAAUAAAUAUUGUUGAGUCAUGUACAAAUCUAAAAAAUGCGACGAAGAUUGAUGAUUAUUAAAUAAUUUUGAUAUCGAAAAUAUAUAAUUAAUGGAAAUAAAAAUAAAUUAGUUAAUUAUUUAUUUGAGGAAUUGUGAGACCCGAAGAUGAGUUCUAAUUAGAUAAUGAAAAGGAGUCUAAUCAGAUGAGUUAUAAUUGGAUUAUGAAGAAAGUUUGAUUAAAUUAUAUUAUAAACUAAAAAGUUGGUUAAAUUAUGAUUAACUUGUAUGUGGUUAUAUUUUGGAUAAAAUUUAAUAUAAAUUUUUAGGUGUUGCUUCUGAUUGAUCAUAAGAUAAUUCAACUUUACUUACAUUAAAUUAAAUUUAUUUUAAAUUACUUAAAGUAAAUAUGAAAUUCUAUUAUUAUCUAAUCAAAUUAUCAUAUCAUUUUAUUAUAUAAUAUUCUAACUGGAUAGUGAAAAUGAGCCUAAUUAGAUGAGUUAUACUUAAUGAAAAUGAAGUGAUUAAUUAUAUUAUUAUAUUAUAUAAAAAAAUUGUAAUGAUUUACUCAUAGUUAAUAUCUUGGUUAAAAUUUAAUAAAAGCAAAGUUGUAGAAUGAACAUUAUUGGUCUAAAAUUUAGGGGUGAACUCUGAUUCGUACUAAAAUAAUUCUUAUUUACUCAUUGGUUAACUGCAUAAUAUUGUGGUACAAGGAAUGUUGAAAAAUUGAAUAUCACUGAUUUAAAAUUUAGUAAUAGCUUCUGAUUAAUUCUAAAAUAACUCCUUUUUUUUAGAGUAACUAAGAUAGGAAUUGGCAAAUGAUUGCCAAUGUCUAUGCGUCAUGACAUUUUUAGUUGCCAACUUAUUAGAGCUCCCUGAUUGCCAAUGAGUUGCUACUCAAAGUUGGCAACUACCUCGUUUAGCUAAAAACAAACUACAGUAUUAUCCAAAAACUAUAUUUUACCUUAACCAUUUAUGUAUUUGAAAUAGAUAUACAAUAUUUAUUUAGGGGAGCACAUUGACAAUUUUUAUAAUUGCCAAUUAUUGGAGUGUAUUUUACAAAGAGGUUGCAAAUGUGAUAUGAAGGAGAGAUAAAAUAAAAAAUUAAUAUAUAUACCGAGUUGGCAAGACUUAGCAACUAUUUUAGCAACCCUUGUUGGAGAUGGUUAACUGCCAGUUUUGACGGGAAAAAACGGCAUACUGUAGUAUAGUUGGGUGUUAUAAUAAAUGUUUAUCCAAUUAGAAAAGUGAAAUUAGUUUGGGAUUAAUCAAAGGUCACCCCUGUAUUUUAGACCAAUAAUGUUCAUUCUUCAAAUGAGAUUUUAAUAUAUUUUAUACUCCCUCCGUCCCACAAUACAAAUCUUUUUUGUAAAAAAUAUUUGUCCCAUAAACUUGUUAACUUUUAGUCUCCAAUGCAAAUAUAUUGACAAUAUUCCAAAACUACCCUUCUUGAAAAUGCAUGACAAUUAAUGAGGAUUGAAUAGGAGUCUACAUUCAUUCAUUAAUUAGAGGUACAAGUAAGAAAAUAUUAUCUAAUUAAUUAAUGAGUUCUUAAUAUGCGCAACUUUUACAAAAGAGACUUGUAUGUGGAACGGAGGGAGUAUAGUUUAUGAAUAUUAAUUAAUUGUAUCUGAUUUUGAUUUUAUUCGGAUUCUUUAUAAAAUAUCGCAAAGAUGACUAGAGUCUUUAGUAUUUAAGCACAAUGUUUCGAAAUCUCAUGGAUUUAGGUGGAAUAUCAAAUAUCUUAAAAUACACACAAUCUCAAAAAAAAAAAAAUCAUCAUUUUAUGAAGUCCAAAAAAAAAUCAUCACCAUUUGAAUACAAUCAAUUUUUAAUAUAUUUAAAAAAAUCUCAAUUGAAUACCUUCGAAAUUUGAAGUAUAAUUUAAAAAUCAUGAUUAAAUACCACUAGUUUUUCUAAAUAAUUUAAAAUCUUAAGUGAAUUUCCAAGAUUGUGAUAAUUUUUGAAAAUCAGAUUUGAAUCCCCUCAAAUUUAAUGAAUGAAAAAUAUCUUUUAAAAUCUCAAUUAAAUGUACCCCUAAUAAAUGUGGUAGAUGAAAAAAAUCUUUAAAAAUCUCAAUUAAUUAUACCCCUAAUAAAUGUGGUGCAUAAAAAAAUCCCUUUAAAUACCCUAUAUGAAUUGACACCAACCCAUGAACAUGUCAAUUUUCUGAAUUCCUAGGAAAGCUCAACCCUAGUUAUGAUCCACACAUCUAUUUAUCGAUUUCCCAUAUUCAUUUUGUCGCCGCCUUGUCAAAUUUUUUUUAGUGCAUUUUGUCGAACACUCGGUGGAGAUGAAUGGUUCUCCACAUGUUCCAUGUGUAGUCACUUUAACAAACUUAUUAAAUAAUGAAGAAAAUUUCAGCAAACAAAAUAAAAACAAUGAAGAAAAUGCUCAUUAAAAAUCAAACACAAAAAUAGCUUCCCCCCUUCUGUGGGGCUUGUUUUGCUCCCAAUCAACUCCAAUUUUUCAGGUUGUGAGAAUAUUUUGAGCUCAAGUCCCAAGAAAUUUGAAAGAGAAGUUGGAUAUAUGAAGCAAUCAAGGCCUCAACAUAUAGUGUUCCAAGGGACAAGAUGUUGAUCUUGGUGUUGUGAUACAAACAAACUUGUUUUUUCAUGGGAUGGGGGUAACUAUCACUCUUAAAGAUAUUACGCAUUUAAGGUCUUUGUCUGUUUUAGGUUGCUCAAUUUCAACUCUCUGUGUUGAUGAAUGUGUUCAUGUUUAUAAAUGUUUGAGAAAUGAAAUAAGCAAGUUAAAUUUGCUAGUGGUGGAUCUGUGAAUCCUUCUACAUGGAUGGAGUAUUUUAUGAAUAGUGUUAAGGAUGUAAAUAUGUAAUGUUGCCAUUCAUUUGUCUAGAGGUAAUAGGGUUGCCUUUGCGCCCGUUGUUUUUGCAUGUAUUUAUGGAAAUAUUGAUUUAUAACACGUGUCAUCCACGAGUGAUUUAUAAUAUUUGUAAUUUUAUCGUUUAUUUCUUAAAUCUAAUUUUUAAAAAGGAUAUUUAAUUAUAUAAAAAAAGAAAAAUUGAUUAUAUAAGAAGAUCCAUAAUUCGACCGAAGUACUGAACGACCAAAAUUUUAAUAUUUCAACUUUAUUAAUAUAAUAUAGAAGUAUAGAUGAGAGUGUUAGGACGGACCCAAUUUUGUAAAAUUGCAAGGGCUGAACCAAAUUUUUUUUACCAACGUUGUAAAAUUUAAUAAGUCGCCCAACGAAAUGAUGUCUUGACAUCCCAAUAUUUUCUUUUGUUGGUUUUCAUGUACCAUUGUAAAUGAGUGCUAAGAUCUGUAACCCGAUGCAAGUCGAACAAUAUCCUCAAAUGAUGUCAAAUUUAAGAUACCCAAAAAAAUUGAGUAUUGCAUUAAUAUUAUCUUAGUGAUGUCUUACAACACCUGAACAUCUUGUACAUGUGUCUUAUUUUCAAGACAUUGCAUUAAAAAUUAGUUUCAUUAGAAAAAUAGCAUGAGAUUUCAUUAGAUAAUAUAAUAAAACCAAGACGAAGAACAUAAUUAAUAAAAUUACAUUAUAUUAUAACUAGUAAAAAGAAUAUUGUGCGAUCACAUAGUUGAUAAAUAAUAGAGUACUUUUAAAAAAAAUUCUAAUAUUAAAUUUCGAUAUUGUAAAAUGAUACUUUAUUUCCAAUUAUAUAUACAAUAUUAUACAUGUUAGAAAUAUAAAAUUUUAAUACUAAAUUUAUAUCUGAAUUUUUAAAUUUAAAACCUCUAUUUAUAUCUGAUUUUUUGUUAAAGUUUAGACUUAUAAUUUUUCCUUUUUAUGCAUCUAAUUCGCCAAUAAGAGAGAGUUUUGACAUUUUUCAUUUAAACCAUAUGCAGAUCUAGCAAACCCAAUCAUGUAUCACAGGACUCAGUUAUUUUAUCUACAGGGCUGAUAGAAUAAGAAGAGUUAGGAUUUUGACCCGGAUCGGAGCCAACCUCAACCCAGCCCGAGUGUUGAAUUAGGGCUAUAACCUAGAUCAACACGGUGGCACGGAGUCACAAAGUUGAAAGUUUCACGGUUUGUGAAGCUUCUUGAAGCUUUUAGAUAUCUAAAAGCUGGAUCAAUUAUACAAUUCUAUCUUCGCAUCAUUCGAUUCUUGUUUUUAGAUAGGGUUAAUUAUCAACUAGGUCAUUUAUUACACUAGAAAAUAUCAAGUGGAUCACUCAGAAAUUUUUGGUCUCAUUUGAAUGACUAAAGUCAUAAAAAAUAUCAAAUAGAUACCUCUAAUAUCUUUUCGAGAAGUAAUCUUUAUUUUUCGUUGAGUUCCACACAUUUUUCUUGGCUGUUAGUAUAAUCAUAUGAAAAGAUAUGAAUUCUUGUAUGUAUCGUAAUAUAUUUAGAUUUUAAGAAAUUUAUUUAUUAUUUAUUUGAUAUAAAUCAAACAAAAUAAUUGUAAAAUUAAAAAUAAAUAGUAAAUAAAUUUCUUAAAAUCUGAAGAUAUUAACAUAAAUACUGGAAUUCAUAACCUUUCAUUUGAUUAUAAUAACAACCAAGAAAAAUGUAUGGAACUCAAUGAAAAAUAAAGUUUAUUUCUCGAAAAGAUAUUAGAGGUAUCUAUUUGAUAUUUUUUAUGACUUUGGUGAUCCAAAUGAGAUCAAAAAUUUCCGAGUGAUCCACUUGAUAUUUUCUGGUGUAUAAAGUGACCUGGUUGAUAAUUAACCCUUUUUAGAUUUAAGCAAAGAAUGUUCUUUUGACUUUAAGACAUGUUUAAGAUAUGUUUAGUCACCGCCUUAGUCGAAUUUUCGCUAGCGCCUCUUGUCGAUCAUUUGGCGGAGAUGAAUGGUUCUCCACCUGUUCGAUGUGUAGUUGUUCCACUUUAUCAAGCUUCUUAAAUAAUGAAGAAAAUGCUCCAGUAAAUAUCGAGAUUCGAGCCGUAAUGACUCCUUUUAAGGUAAUACUUUUUUUUUCCUUUUUGUCAUUUAAUCGACGCCUUUUAAACAGUGCUAUGGUGCUUGCUAUUGAGACGAAUUAGUUGUUAUUUUUUUGCGAUUUAGGGCGGAGAGGAUUGAGAGUGCUUUUCAUUUAAGAUUGGGAUGAAGCAUCGUAUCGAUUGGGUGGUUAUUUUGUACUCUUGGCCACUUUAGAUUGAUUAAAUCGAGACAUCUAAAAGCUGAUAUUAUAUGAUGAUACUUGCAAUUUUAUAUGUGCACAUCCGAUACUUGUUUUUUGAUAUAAGCAAAGGAUGUUGUUUUUGACUUUAAGAUAUCUUUAGUCUUGUCUGGUGGUAUUUAAACCGUUUUGGUAUUUGCAGAUGAGUUCCUACGGUCAGGUGGACCAUGCUCCUCAGAGUAUUCUCCCUGGUUGUUCAGAGGGUGGAAGAAAUCUCAGAGGUAUAAGAGGUUUAUAGCAAGUAGUAGCUCCCUCGCAUAAUAUUUACUUCCUCUAUUCCUUUAGGAAACAAAAUUAAUAUUCAUAUUAACACAUGAAAUGAGAUUGUCAGGAUUGAAGUUUAUUGUAGCAGUUUCUUUAUUUUAUUCUAUCAUGUGUUAUAGAAAGCCUUAUGGGCACCGAAUUUAAGCUCUUGAGCCUUUCCUUAUUUAUCAAUCCUUUGGUGUUGUGGUACAAAUACUUUUUUUUUCCAUGGGGUGAGGUAACUAUCAGUCUUGAAAAUAUUGUGCAUUUAGGGUGUCUGUCGUUUUUAGGUUGCUCUAGUUCAACCCCAUGUGAUGAUGAAUGUGUUGAUGUUUAUAAUUGUUUGAGAAGUGAAAUUAAGAGUGUUAAAUUUACUAAUGCUGGAUCUGUGACUCUUCAAUGUGGAUGGAGUAUUUUAUGAAUAGUGGUAAGGAUGUAGAGCAUGAAGCAUUUCUUGUAUUUUGGCUGUGUAAGUUUGUUUUUGUGCGCACUCAGAUACUUGUGCAGGAUUUGAAUGUUGCUUUUCAUUUGUCUUAAUAGGGUUGCCCUUGCUCCUGUUCUUGUUUGUAUUUAUAGAGAUAUGAGGGUGUUACAUAAUGCAAUGGUUAAGCCUGUCGAAUUAGGGUCUGGAAUUGGUCUGAAGUUCACUAUAUGGCACUACGACUUAGUGCAGAUGUGGGUUUGGGAGAGGUUUGUGGAAUUGAGGCCAAAGCCAAAUGUCAUAGAACGGGGAGACCCUAGAUCAGCACGGUGGAAUGGAGUCACAAAGUUGUAAGUUUCACGAUUUGUGAAGCUUUUUGAAGCUUUUAGACAUCUAAAGCGGUAAUCAAUAAUAUGCAAUUCUAUCUUCGCAUCAUUCAAUUCUUGGUUUUAGAUAUAAGCAAAGAAUGUUCUUUUUGAGUUUAUGAUAUCUUUAGUCUUAUUUAGACCGUUUUGGUAUUUGCAGAUGAGUUCCUACAGGCUACAGUCAAGUGGAUCAUGCUCCUCAGAGUAUUCUUCUUGGCUGUUGAGAUGGUGGAAAAUCUCAAAGGUAUAAGAGGUUUAUAGCUGGUAGUAGCUCGCUCGCAUAUAUUUACAUCCUCUCUAUUCCUUUAGGAAACAAAAUUAAAUAUUAAUAUUCAUAUUAAGACAUGAAAUGAGAUUGUCAGGCCUGAAGUUUAUUCUGGCAAUGACAUUGGGUCAAUUAGGGUUCUCCCUUUUUGAUGUCGUUGGAAGCUGAUUUCCUCUUUUUAUUUGGGGUUAUAAAUUGUAUUUUUGUUUUAGGGUUUACUUUUUUGGGCGCUAAAACCGGCCCAAUAACAUUAUUUACGUUGCACUUUUCUUAGCUUCAAUAAAGCAAGCUUUUCUAAUUGCUUCGUGCCUGGCCGUGCUUUGCACUUCAUGGCCUCCAACGCGCGCUUGUUUGAAGUUGGGUCAAGUGUGUAGAUGUUCCAUGAUGAUUAAUUAUUUAUCUAUUUUAAGCGUUCCUUAAUUGGAGAAAAUGUAGUAAUUCUGUUUGUUACAAUUAUAAUGGUGUUAUGCCUUGAAAAACCACUAUUUAACUGUUGUACACAGGUGCAAUGGUGGAGUCAAACUAUUUGGCUCGUUUGUAGCUGAACUAUUCACGAAAUGGUGAGAUUUGGAUAUAUCCAUAGAGAUACAUGUUUUCAUAUCUCAAGCACAGCAAGAAAGCAGAAGGAAAGUUUGCUUGCAGAUUUACUAGUAGCUCUUAGAAAGAAAGGUAAUCUUUUUUCAAGAUAUGGAACUCCAUGCAUAUUGUGAAAUUGUUGCUGUCCUUGUGAUAUCUCACAUUAUGUAGUAAAACAAUCAAUUUAUCAAAUUCCAAAUACUCGUUCUCCGCAUCAUCCUAUACUUUUUUCUUAAGUUGAGGAUCUUUUUGAGAAGCCUGUUAAACCUGCAAGGGCUGUUGCCAACAACCAUCUGACAAGAAUGGUUGAUGCAUUUCGAGCUUAACAUAAUAUGCUUCC
rnacentral:lncRNA from 1 species